GACAGAGGUGGCAAGCGUUGUUCGGAUUUACUGGGCGUAAAGAGCGCGUAGGCGGUUGCAUAUGUCAGAUGUGAAAUCCCAGGGCUUAACCCUGGAAUGGCAUUUGAAACUGUGCGACUUGAGGACAGGAGGGGGAAGUGGAAUUCCCGGUGUAGCGGUGAAAUGCGCAGAUAUCAGGAAGAACACCCGUGGCGAAGGCGGUUCUCUGGGACGGUACUGACGCUGAGACGCGAAAGCGUGGGGAGCGAACAGG
rnacentral:rRNA from 1 species